AUGGGCCGUUCCAUGGCUCUGCUCCACCGCGAGAUUUACUUCUCCGACGACGAGGCGUUAUCCGGCCGAGUGUCGUCAAUCCGCUGCCCGUGGGAAGGACGAGAUGGUCCACCAAGCCGCCAAGAGAUCAGUGACGCAGUCACCGGUUACCUGCGGACCUUCAAGGCGCACGCAGUCGUCGCCGAUCCGCCGGCGCUCUCCUUCCUCCACAUACUGCGGCCGCCGGUAUCCGUCGGGCUCCCGGUGCAGCUCCACAGCCUCACCAUGGCCACUCUCUCCAGCGCGGACAAGAACCUGGUCGCCAUGUACGCCGGAGCGUACCGCCCUGGCAACCGUUUCCCUGGAGGCUACCUCAUCUACGACGCCAGGAACGACUCCAUCUCUGGGAUCCCCGAGCUCCCCUCCGACCACUCACAUAGAGCCAUCGGGUGCGAGUCGGCCGUCGUCAUGUGCGCCGCCGGGAACGACUACUUUCUUGCCGAGCUCGUCAGGGUCUGGCCAGAUGGCUCCCAAGCUGCGCUCUGGCUGUGGAAGUCGUCCGUCCAAAAAUGGGACUUGCAUCCCAGUCGCCUGCCCCUUCCAUCCAGCACCACCGGCCACUUCUCCCCUGACUUGUGCUUCUCUUGUUGGGGCUCUGUCCUCUGCUGGGUGGAUCUGCUCAAAGGCAUGGUGCUCUGUGAUCUGAAACAAAACUGCAAGUUCAGCUUUAUUCAGUUGCCCAAAGAUUGUCCAACCUAUGAUGCCGACAGCGACGACUUUACAUACUCCUCUGCCGAGGAGUUCCGUUCCAUGGCCUGUGUUGCUGGCAAAAUCAAGUUCGUCGCCCUGGAUGAAUGUGAUGAACACCAGCCUGAAAAAGGAUUGGAACUGACCAUCUGGACUCUCUCGCAUGACCUCUCAGGGUGGAAGGAAAGCUGCAAGUGCAAUGUUGAAAACAUCUGGGCAAACGAGGCCUACAAGCCUGCUGGUAUAAGAAAUCUUCCUCCGUCGUACCCUGUUCUGAGCAUCCAUGAAGACGGCGUCGUCUACCUAGUCUUAAAUGAUCUCAGGGAGUUGGACUAUGGACUAGAGCACAUGGGCCAGUGGAUGCUUCGUGUUGACAUAGGCAAUGACAAGGUCCAGUUCUAUCCAAAUGGUGAAAAGAAUUCUGUUAAUUCCCUGCUCUUUGCCAGUGAGUUCAGUGCGCACCGACAGCAUUUACAGGAUCACCCGAGAGAGAUAGAAGCAAGCGAGUUUGUUGCAAGGGGAAAGAGGAUGAAGCCUUGA
rnacentral:rRNA from 1 species